ACCCGCACAAGCGGUGGAUGAUGUGGUUUAAUUCGAUGCAACGCGAAAAACCUUACCCACCUUUGACAUGUACGGAACUUGCCAGAGAUGGCUUGGUGCUCGAAAGAGAGCCGUAACACAGGUGCUGCAUGGCUGUCGUCAGCUCGUGUCGUGAGAUGUUGGGUUAAGUCCCGCAACGAGCGCAACCCUUGCCAUUAGUUGCUACGAAAGGGCACUCUAAUGGGACUGCCGGUGACAAACCGGAGGAAGGUGGGGAUGACGUCAAGUCCUCAUGGCCCUUAUAGGUGGGGCUACACACGUCAUACAAUGGCCGGUACAAAGGGUAGCCAACCCGCGAGGGGGAGCCAAUCCCAUAAAGCCGGUCGUAGUCCGGAUCGCAGUCUGCAACUCGACUGCGUGAAGUCGGAAUCGCUAGUAAUCGUGGAUCAGCAUGUCACGGUGAAUACGUUCCCGGGUCUU
rnacentral:rRNA from 1 species